rnacentral:rRNA from 1 species
GCCACACUGGGACUGAGACACGGCCCAGACUCCUACGGGAGGCAGCAGUAGGGAAUCUUCCGCAAUGGACGAAAGUCUGACGGAGCAACGCCGCGUGAGCGAUGAAGGCCUUCGGGUCGUAAAGCUCUGUUGUUAGGGAAGAACAAGUAUCGGAGUAACUGCCGGUACCUUGACGGUACCUAACCAGAAAGCCACGGCUAACUACG